UCCAUCUAUCUUUUCCAUCCCACUAGAAAAAAAAAGGUGAAGAAAUAAACCAGCGACCCCUACCUAGCCGCCGCACCCCACCCCGCCCCUCCUCUUCCAUCUCGAUCCAAUCUUCCUCUUCCCUCACCAUGCCGCCGCCGCCCAGCCCUGGCGCGCAACGAGCUUGCUUGCUCGCACCGAUGUCGGCCACUCCACUCGCCGCCUGCUACCCUCGUCAUUGCAAUGUAUCCCUCUCUGCCCGCACAAAACGCCGAGCAGCCACGACGGUACCCACGCGCCUCGGCCAUGACAACCUCGAUAUCCAUGGCAAGGUGGCCGGCGGCUGGCGGAGGUCAGGUUGAGCAGCUGGGAUUUGGUGGCCGGUCGGCGAGGCACUGAAGGAGGAUGUCCCAGGCCUCAGGAGUUCGGAGGCGAGGUCAGGUGGCGGCACGACGAGCUAAUGGAAGGGGCGUGAGGGUGCAGACCUGGCCGGAGGAGGUCGGGCCAGAGCCGGGGGGCAUAGAGGGCAGCCGGUUCAUGGGGGGCCAGGCCUGGCAGGGUGGUUCGCGACCCAAGAUCGGCCACAGGCUAAGGCCGACGAGCGAGACACUUCCAUGGACCUUUGCUACUGCUAACAGUCUGUAUUGUACACUCCGACGUCCACAACCAAAUCAAGGACGGGAGUUUGCGAGGCACUGAAGCACGGCGCAAGGGCACCAUCUCCAUGGCCAACUCCGGGACCAAGGCGAUCGACAUUUUCUUGGCUGGUCCAUGGUGAUUGCUCCCAUGUCUCUGUUAUUUUUUGUUCUUUACAAAAUUUGCUUCUAUAAUAUCAUCAUUUAGUGAAUUUUACCUACCUACACGAGAUAUGACUGGCGCUUCCCUAGUCUCUAAGGUAAUGUAUCAAUUUGCUGCUUAGUUAGGAAGAGGAUGAAUCAUGUUGGAUUUGCAGCGAGAGGAAGCUUGUCGACUUGAUGAACAGGGUAAUGUUUACUGAGGGCGGCUCGGCAAGGAGGAGACCGGAUGUUUGUCGUUGACCUACUUUGGAAGUGAGCUUAUUUAUCUCAUCUGGUCGUUGUUUCCCCUUGAUUAACUUUAGAUGGGGAAGCUUGAUCUCAUAAUGUCCAUGGAGAUAAAGCGGCUCGGACAAAGCAAAGGAGAAAAUACAUGCCCAAAACUGUUGAUCCUGAUUUUCCGACAAUAAUCACUUCAUAUGAGAUGGCCAUGUUUGAUGCAAAAUUUUCUUGCUAAUUAUAAAUUGAAGUAUGUUGUUGUAGAUGAGGGGCAUCGGUUGAAAAAUGCAAAGUGCAAAUUAUUGAGGGAGUUGAGGCGCAUUUCAAUGGAUAACAAGCUCCUUUUGACUUGAACACCUCUUUAGAAUAAUCUAGCAGACUUGUCGUCGCUACUGAAUUUCAUUUUUCCUGAUAUAUUCUCAUCCCAUGACGAAUUUGAUUCAUGGUAUGAUUCAUUUCCUACCAUCUAAUCUGCAAUUUCUGUAUGUGUUUUUUUUUUCAUUUGUCUUAGAAUCCUUGAAUUAGUUUUGUUUUGCAGUAACUGGUUGCCGUCUCAUGCCUUUUGUUUGUGUUUUACAGUUUUAUGUUGUAGUUAUAUAUAAGUUACCUGGAUUAUCCAAUGUAACAUUUGUUUAGCUUUCAAAGGUUUAGCUUUCUCACUGCCUGGAUGUUGUACUGAUAGUCAAUAAAUAUAUGUAUCUAACUGCACAGAUAUGGCAUUUGUCAGGUCUCUUUAAAGUAUAGUGGUCCUUAAUUUGUUGAGAUAUCAGUUUCCUAGUAUAAGCCGAAUUGUAGUAACUUGGCUGGGGCACUACACAUUUAUUAAGAAUAUAUAAAUGGCUGGUCACAAUAGUGGCAUUGCAGGCUAGAACAAUUACAACCCCUCAUGGAUUAUUCUAAAAAAAACGAGGUACUACCAUCUUAUCUGCUUUUCAAAAAGGAAGAAUGCAUGAACCAUGGCAGAGGAGAAAGGACCUCAUGUUCCAGAGCAGCCAGUUGUGGUUAUACAGCUUUGUAUACGGGUGUUCUUUAUUGUAAAAUUGGGCUGUGUAAAUCAUAAGGAGCUUUAGUUGAUAUGAGUAUCUGCAAUGGCAGACAUAUGUUAUGACAUUUCGUCUUCUGAUUUAUGUUGUGUACCUGACACAGAUAUGCCAUGUCUGUCAAAUUGUGUAUUAGUUUUUAGUUGA